GUGGGUCCGAAGGUUUCCACUGUGUUGUUCCUUGUAAUGCCCAAUCUCUCACCUCCACACACACACACAAAGUGUUAGCCGCUCAGUCGUGUCCACUCUUUGCAAUCCCAUGGACUGUAGCCCACCAGGCUCCUCUGUUUUGGGGAUUCUCUAGGCCAGAAUCCUGGAGUGGGAAAUGGCAACCCACUCCAGUACUCUUGCCUGGAGAAUCCCACGGACAGAGGAACCUGGUGGGCUGCCGUCCAUGGGGUCGCAGAGAGUCAGGCAUGACGAGGCACACAGCAC
ensembl:lncRNA